GGUUAAAUCAGCGAUCGACGCGUUUACCUCGGUGUCAGAAGCGAAAGGAUUUCACUUGAUAAAACGAGCGGUCCGCAAAAGGAGGCUGUCCGGUGGUUUAUUGCCAGCUACCGCUCUCACGGUCGAUAAAAACGGGCUGCUCGCUCGACAAUGCGAUGAAUAAUUGAUUUCCCAGUUUCACUUUUUCGUGGAUUACGCAACCGUAAGGGAAUAUAAUUUAAUUACUUAUGGAUAAUCGACGUAUCGCAUGGUACGUAGAGUUUGAAUCGUUCAUGUGCUAAACGAGAGAACAACUUUCACUUAUCGACCAGAUUUUUAUCCCGACAACCGCUCUUCCUCUUCUUUAAUUAAUCGUAUGCGAGCGAUUUUUAUUCAACAACGCCUCGUUUUAAAUUACUUCCUCUUCUACCAAUGAUUAUCGUAUAAAAGAAAAGAUGAAAAUUGGCUAACGUUAAAAUGUCCUACGUUUCCUAGGUAAUUUAAGGUACGAGUACCCCCUGUGGCUCGGGGGGCUUAGAAUACGGCCACGGUAUCCCCUGCCUGUCGUAAGAGGCGACUAAAAGGGGGAUGUAAAGGUACAGAAAGAGUGUGAGAUUUCAAAGUACGGACAAGUAUGAGCGGAAUUAAAAGUACAGAAGCAUAUUGAAAAUGGCGCGAUAAUGCGCGUGGCCGAUAACUUUUCGUUGGCAAAAAGGGACAGAUCCAAGUCCCUAGAUUACGCCAUCCUUAAUAGAAGGAAACUUAGGAAGUGAAGUGAAGACAGAAAAACGCGGGAAAACGUGCAACCUACAACACCGAUUUCAUUGCUGUGGAAAUCCAAUGACCAUGAAGAAUCAAGGAAACAAUGCCGAUAUUCAAUUUAACGGUGCAUUAAAAGUAACAGCUUUCUAAUCUUGUGCAGGUUUCUUGUCCGUGUUCGAAGUUUUCAUAAAACUCGUUUGCUUUAGUUCGAUCGAUGCACGACAGUAUCGGUAGUCGCGUCGGUAUUAUUCUUGUAGGAGGAUCGAUUUAAAUAUUUCUCGUGCACGAUAAAAUGAAAAGAAGAAACGCGUUUAAUAACCGUGACCAGAGAUAUAUAUAUAAAAGUAGUCAAGUUUUCCGCACGAAAGCAAACUCGUGGAAACCAUCAGCGAGCGGAAACAUAUUUUCAUCCUGGUCGCUUCUAGAAUGAUUAUUUCUAUCUCUUUACGCAAUCUAUGCGAUGCUUCACACACUUAUCAUUCAUAGCUCACACUGAAAAUUAAUUUUCUGAUAAAAAAUUCAUAAUAAAUGAUUAUUUAAGAUAGCAUGAAAAUUCAAUUAAUUUUUCACGAUCUCAUUGGUUCUGAAUCUGCAUAAAUUUUUGCAGAAGAAAUCUGCAUAGGAAACAAUCGCGUAUCUUUGUCCUCUUAUCUACAAGAUACGGUCAUGUGCAACUCAGAUUUCCCUUAGUUAAGAAAAAGAGGAGGGGAAGGAAUAUUCCACAAUGUACUUACCUCAUUGCCCUUGUUCUUUAUUUAUGCAGAUAGGGAGUUUUAAGUUAGGCUCUACCCGGUUUUUGCAAAAAUAAAUGGUGGGAGUUUUUUCUCUUACGCUUACCCCUUAACAAUGAUAGCCCGCAAUACACCGGUGUACAUUAAUGAAAUUACAGGACAACAUACAUGUAGUGAGGAGUAACGUUAUCCCUGAGAUACCUGGCUGACUUUAUCGCCGCGAUGCGUGACGAACGUUCGUUUACGUACGUUCCAUAAAGAGCUUCACCAAUUCUCUUCCUCUCCAUUAUUCCCUGUUGUCCACCAAACCUGGAAUCGUACGAACCGCAUAUAAAUAUCAGCGUAUAUCGUGCAGCUUGGCGUGUCCGUAGAAUUCUAAGUGGCUCUUGUUAGCCGCGUACCCGGUGAAACUCUUUUUUAACAAACCGUCAACUGCAAAUAGAAGCUUCUUCGUCAUUGAUACCAACGAACUCGACGAUACAAUCGUUAAUUGCAACCUUGUUUAAAUUUCUGGGGCGGAGGAGGGGUUCGUAUCUGUGGAUUUUUUAUCUUUAGAAAUGGGAAUAUAUGGUUUGAUCAUACGUUUUUAAUACCGAUUUUAACAAAAGAAGCAACGAAUUGUCUAGAUAAUAAAUUGGGCAAAAUCCUUAUGAAGAAGUUAACAACUCGUACGGGAACCAACUCGAGCGUGCACUCGUGCACGCUUCGUUUCGCUGAAAUAAUAACGAAGAUCUUCGAGCCCCCCCCCCCCCCCGCCACAUCGUCACGGCGUAACCAAGAAUUCCAUGUUCCUUUUUCCUCGUAUUUUUACCGAAAAUUAUGAAAAUCGUGCUAUGCAAGCGUGCAGAUGUUUUGCUCUCGUUUGCGCUUUCACGGCUAGUUUUAAUUAAUUACGAACAGUAUUUACAUCUCUACUUGUUGCAGUUGUUACCAUAAAACAUCGUAGAAUAAGAACUGCUUUAAAGUUCUAAGAAAUGUUGCAAAAGUGGGAUAGAAGUACGUAUGCGUCUGAUUUAAUCGGUAGUAGAAUUAGAGCUGAAACGCGUUGCAAAUUAUUUUUUACAUUACAUGGAAAUUAUCUGGAAACAACGUUAUUACAUAAAAUAAUAGUAAUUGAGAGUUCAAGCAGCGUUCCGUGUCUUGAAUAGACUAAUGUUCUUCCUUAAUUUACUUCAGACAUUGUACGUAAUAUUAUUCUACAAAUACUUAUAAAUGAAUAUGAUGGCUUUUUCUUAAAUUUUGUGCUGUUUAAAUGUUUAAAACUUUUAUCUUAUAAAAAUAAUGAAGCUCAUAUUUAUUGGCUAAGCAUGAAUAUUAGUAGUCGAUAAAGAAGAAAACUUGUACGGUAACCAUUUAGACAAUUACCUACUGCUGAGCAUACUUCCGUCGGUAAUGUAUCUACGUUAGUAAAUUACCGAUUGGAAACUUUUUGUUUUGAUACUUCGGACAAUCGUUAGUAGAUGGCGCCGAUGAAUCUGCAAAAUGCGCCUCAAUUUCAAAUUUAAAAAAACAGAUAAAAAUAAGGUCAUCUAGUGGCAGGAAACCACUUUAAUUUAAAAUAAUAUAUACUGAUAUUUAUUUUCUGGAAUAGGGAAUAAAUAAAAAACAGUUUUAAAAAAAAUUUCUUUAAUGGCGACGCAUUGAUAAUAAUAUAUUUGUGUCUAUUUUCAUAAAUUAGCUCGUUUCACGUGUGAAAAUAUAAAAUUGUGCUAUAUUAAUUUAAAACUAAAACAAUUGUAGGAACGAGCACUUGCGCUAAACGUACUUUUUUAUCAAGGCACGAGUUUGGCUAUGAAAAUAUAGCCGAAAACAACAGUGCCGUAGUCAAACGUAUAUAAAUGUACAUUGUUAACACGAAGCUGCCGAGACAUUACUCGUUACAAUUCUUAAAAUACAUUCGUAUCACAGCCAAAUUAUCCGGGAAUAAUGACUUUCCUUAUUCAGUUCGCUAUUCUCCGACGAUACGAAUGUUUCCGUAUUAAUAUCUACGAAGGAUAAUUAAAAGUUUUUCUCGUGUUCUCGCCACGAAUUACAUAUACGUGUCGUCUCUUUCUCCAUCCAAAUAAAUAUAACGAGCAACGGAAUUAUAAAUACGAUCUACAUUUUGAGACAACGCAGAAGUUUAUCAGGUACUUGUGAGAUAAAUUGGAAGGAAUUCUCCCUGAGAUUGUUGGCAGCGUCAUUACCGACCAAAUCGUUGCCCUCCUCAUCCCUGACAUCGAUUUCAACAUUCUCGAGGUCGAUAUUAAAGUCUCGGUCACCCAUUAGCGUCGUGAGACACAUAUUUUUCUCUUUUAUCCUCGAACGCACUAGCAGUUCCAGUGUGAACAGAUGUUCGUCGUGAGCUUCUGGCAGAUAACGGUGCAUAAAUUCUGCUAAUCUGUGAACAAUAUAAAAUGCGUAAGAAUAUCGUUUCGAGAUAUGCAUUUUACGAGUACAAAAACCGAUUGAAUGUAAUAUCGCUAUUAAGCUAACCGUAAUAGAUAUUCAACAUUGUGACCACUCGGUCCAGAACAUUCGGAGAUUUGUUUCGCUAUGUGCUGUAGGGGCGCUUCGCCAAGCCAGUGCUCGUUUCUGUUAGUAGCUAUAUAAACGAUGACAGGAAAGUUUCUGUUUCCUUCGCGGCCGUAAAAUGCUGUAAUCGUUGUCAUAUAUCCUCCCAAAGUGCAUUCACGAUUUUCCAAAUAUGGUAGAGCCGCGUUAUCCUGGACUUCAAACGCUCGCCCAUAAACAAUGCCCUGUUGACAAAGAAAAUAGAGUUAAUUUGGUCUGUGUGGCAUCUCAUUUACAUAUAUAGAAUGGUUAAGAAUCACAAUAAAUAUUUGUUCGGAAAUAAUUGAACAUUGAAAGCAAACAAAUUUAUUUAUCAUGUAAGUCACGUUUCCAUGAAAUUACCUCUGUGUCCUCCACCAAUGUAGCCACACGUCCAGGCUGCAACAGAAAAAGAAUCAUUGAACCAACGGUUGAUGAUUAAUUUGAACAGAAAUAAAGAAAAGAAUGAUUAGAAGCUUAGCAACUGGUAUGACGUAAAUAUGUAACACGAAUACAAGAAACAAAAUUGUGUUCGAAAGAUAUCGGUUUCUACGAGCUGUAACUGGUUUCGCAUUAAUCGAAUACUGAUUGUAACAAGAAACCAGGAGAAAUUCUAGUUAAAAAAAAAUAUAACGCACUUAGCUUUUAAAUCAACUAAGUUAAUGGAGUUCGUGGGGUAAUUGCAAAGAGAUCUAUCUGGUGAACAAUUCAUAGGAAACAAUGAACUCAAUCCCUUAAAUUUCAUUGUAUCAAGUGGAGAAAUUGGAGCGACACACUAUAGGUGAAACUCUAUCCGAUUUUCAUUACUCUUAAUAGAAACAUCCGUAAGUACUUAUUGACAAUGAGGGGCUAAUUCAGGAGCUUUACCGUCUACAUAAAUAUUACUUUGAUUAAUAUUUUCAUUAAUACAUUGGAAAGUUUUAAUGUCAAGAGGAAUCCCCUGUUUACGACGUGGCGUGGAAGCCUGCCAGAGUUUUGUGAAAGAAUCCACGCGGCGAAUUCAUGAACACAAAAAUUAAGGGUAUAAAUAGAUUUGUUUGAGUCGUAUGAAAAAGUAUAAGCUUGGUUAGCGGAUUUCAUUCGAAAGAAAUCAAAAUUCAUGGACAAAUGAAAAUCUGUAGCAUUUGUACACGAUAAUUGAUUGGUACAUCGGAAACACCGAUCCAUUUACGUCAUUGGAGUUUUCAGCGUAACAUUUCACGUAUAUUUCAUUGAAAUUGUGAAAAAUAUUGUACACAAAAUAUAUGAAGAAAAUUUAGAAAAUAGCCGAAUGAAAUACACCGUACGGAAGCUUGACCGAGACUGCCGGCUGUCGGGCGUAUACCUCUACUCAUAAAAAGAGAUGGAAGUAAGGUAACGAGGAAAGGAAUAGGAAAAAGGUAAUGGUUGGAAAAGGAGGAGCGAUUGUAUGAAGAGAGAGUGGGAGAACGGAUGAGACGGAUGAUGAAACUCCAAGUACGAUUGACGUAUAAUUCAAGCUGCAUGCCCAAAUUGUAUAGACACGACAAUUGUCUAUUACUUAAACUGCACUCAACGCGAUUAGAUCACAAUUAUAUAAUAACCUAGUUUUAAAUGUUUCAAUGUAAAAUUGGCGGGAAUCAAGCAGCUGGUUGAAAACAUGACAUUGUUUCAAUUGAAAAAAUAACUUGCAGUUGAAUUGGAACGAGUAUAUAAUUACUUUAUAAGAUAUUAACCAAGAAGUAAAAGAUGUUGAACCAACUUCUACACAAUCCCUUCAAAUUUAACUCUAAAGUUACCCUACUAUCCAUUUUUAUCCUCUGAAGAUCAGGAUUACCGCGAUACUGGAAUAAAAGGAUACAAAGAUUUAUGUUAGUACUUACAAUUGCACAGACAUGUGGGUGGUCCUCGUAAAGCCCAUAGAGAGAAGCAGAAGAAUAAAUAGCUGGGAAGAAUGGACAUCAACCUAUAAAUUACUAUUUUGCGAUUUGUUUGGUUUUUAAGUCUUAUAUUUUGCUGUUCGUUCUUAUAUUUCACUUGUUGGUAUUACCUGCCGCCGGUAUUACCUACCGUCGGUAUUACCCACGGUCGGUAUUACUUACCGUCGGUAUAAUUGUCGCGUACUAACACCCCAAGCCAUUUAUCUUGUAUCCAUGUUACAUUACAACUAAUAUAAUAAAA